UGGGGAAUAUUGCACAAUGGAGGGAACUCUGAUGCAGCGACGCCGCGUGAGUGAUGAAGGAAUUCGUUUCGUAAAACUCUGUUCUAUGGGAAGAAAAGGACUGUACCAUAGGAGAAAGCUCCGGCUAAAUACGUGCCAGCAGCCGCGGUAAUACGUAUGGAGCGAGCGUUGUCCGGAAUUAUUGGGCGUAAAGGGUGCGCAGGCGGCUUUACAAGUUGGAUGUGAAAUAUUGUGGCUCAACCACAAACGUGCAUCCAAAACUGCAAAGCUUGAGUUAAGGAGAGGUAAGUGGAAUUCCUGGUGUAGCGGUAGAAUGCGUAGAUAUCAGGAAGAAUACCGGUGGCAAAGGCGACUUACUGGACUUAAACUGACGCUCAGGCACGAAAGCGUGUGGAGCAAACAGG
rnacentral:rRNA from 1 species